rnacentral:rRNA from 1 species
UCAUCUACCUUCAGGACGGGGACAACAGCUGGAAACGGCUGCUAAUACCCGAUAUGCCGAAAGGUGAAAAGUUAUUUCGCCUGGAGAGGAGCUCGCGUCCGAUUAGCUAGUUGGUGGGGUAAAAGCUUACCAAGGCAACGAUCGGUAGCUGGUCUGAGAGGAUGAGCAGCCACACUGGAACUGAGACACGGUCCAGACUCCUACGGGAGGCAGCAGUGGGGAAUUUUCCGCAAUGGGCGAAAGCCUGACGGAGCAACGCCGCGUGGGGGAAGAAGGUUUUUGGAUUGUAAACCCCUUUUCUCAAGGAAGAACAAAAUGACGGUACUUGAGGAAUCAGCCUCGGCUAACUCCGUGCCAGCAGCCGCGGUAAUACGGAGGAAGGCAAGCGUUAUCCGGAAUUAUUGGGCGUAAAGCGUUCGUAGGCGGCUGUUCAAGUCUGCUGUCAAAGACCGAGGCUCAACCUCGGGUCGGCAGUGGAAACUGGAUAGCUAGAGGUCGGUAGGGGCAGAGGGAAUUCCCAGUGUAGCGGUGAAAUGCGUAGAUAUUGGGAAGAACACCGGUGGCGAAAGCGCUCUGCUGGGCCGAACCUGACGCUGAGGACGAAAGCUAGGGAGCG